rnacentral:rRNA from 1 species
UACGGAGGGUGCGAGCGUUGUCCGGAAUCAUUGGGCGUAAAGGGCGCGUAGGUGGCGGGACAAGCGUGCAGUGAAAGCCUGGGGCUCAACCCCGGGUCGGCCGUGCGAACUGUUUUGCUUGAGCACUGUAGAGGCAGGCGGAAUUCCGGGUGUAGCGGUGGAAUGCGUAGAGAUCCGGAAGAACACCGGUGGCGAAGGCGGCCUGCUGGGCAGUAGCUGACACUGAGGCGCGACAGCGUGGGGAGCAAACAGG